rnacentral:rRNA from 1 species
GAUAAACGCUGGCGGCGUGCCUAACACAUGCAAGUCGAACGACCUGUGUUUUUCGGAAACGCAGGCAGUGGCGGACGGGUGAGUAACACAUGGGUGACCUACCCCCCAGUGAGGGAUACCGGCGAGAAAUUGCCGACAAGCCCGCAUAGGGUCUUGCUGGUGGAGCAGUGAGAGCAAAGCUUCUUUUUCUUGCGAGAGGGAGAGGCGCUGAGGGAUGGGCCUGUGGCCGAUUAGCUGGUUGGUGGGGUAAGAGCCUACCAAGGCGUCGAU